rnacentral:rRNA from 1 species
UACGGAGGGAGCUAGCGUUGUUCGGAAUUACUGGGCGUAAAGCGCACGUAGGCGGCUUUGUAAGUUAGAGGUGAAAGCCCGGAGCUCAACUCCGGAACUGCCUUUAAAACUGCAUCGCUUGAAUCCAGGAGAGGUGAGUGGAAUUCCGAGUGUAGAGGUGAAAUUCGUAGAUAUUCGGAAGAACACCAGUGGCGAAGGCGGCUCACUGGAGCUGGUAUUGACGCUGAGGUGCGAAAGCGUGGGGAGCA